rnacentral:lncRNA from 1 species
GAAAUAUAUACUGAGACAGUGAAUGUUAUUAUAGCAAUAAAAAGGAAAACAGUCUGAGGCAUGCAUGGAGUCUUUAUGCACAGUUUGUUUAAAUGCAAUUUCACCUACAGUAUUUAAAACCAGAUUUUAUUCAUACUUGCACAUGUUGUUCAUCUAAUAUGUCAGUAUCUGUUUAAUUACAGUAAUUGUAAAUGACGGUGCAGUUAAGUGGACCCUAAAAAGGAGCACUCACUCCACAAGUGUUCGCUCAUCAGUAUCAUUACACAGGGAAAAAGUUAUUUUGAGGCGUUAUGAAACCGUCCACUUGUGGUAGUAUUUUUGCUUGUGCGAUCAUUGUGCAAGCUCCUGAGUUGGGAGCAGACAGAGAGAGGGAGAUGGAGAGAGUUGACCUCUUGAUAACGUGGGUGGGCAUUACCACAUCAAGAGGUGUUUGACAGGUACGAAAGCCUUCAGCUUACUCCAAAAACGGCGACUGGUUAAUGAAAAAGGCGACAACACAUUAUUAUUCGCAGCAUGCCGGAGCCGUCCCAUUUGGGCGAGAGGCGGGGGAAACUCUAGCCCGGUCGCCAGACCAUCGCAUACAUCUCAGCGCUGUGUUCUAACCAACAUCUUGACUGGCAUUUUUCUGUGGAAUAAACACGACUUGCCCCAGUGGACUCAAAACAAUUGCUGCUUCCGCCAUUGUUUACGCAACAGUAAUUUUAUGUCUUUGUUGUAGCAUUUCUUAAAGAAAGAACGUGAUAGAUUCCGUAUAAAACCUGCUUUUAAUCUAAAUUUCUCUCUUAGCAGCCGAUUACAUUACACCAAGUUCAUGAUGUUAUGUCAUUUCAGUGACUUUUCAAGAAACACAAACGCUGAGCUAGAAUUCAGUUUUCCUUUGGCUGCCUUUGAGGAGGCAAUGAUUAUGUGUUACCCUUUAAAUCAGCUGAGUUGGCUGACCUUUGGAGCAACGCAACAGAUACGUGGACCCACUUAGCACAAAACGCUGUAAACCAGUCUGCUUCUUCUUUUUUUUAUCAUUUUCUAUUUUCAAGUCUUCUAGUCAUUUUCAAGAAACAGUGCAUUACACCCAGUUGGAAGGCAUGGAGGAGAAUCACAGUGAAAACCCAGACGUCACGCGAGACUCGGCGAAAGGGGCUUUGGGAAGAAACACGAGCCAAACUCACGCCGGAGAAAAGCCGCUUAUGUCCC